rnacentral:tRNA from 1 species
CGGGGUGUGGCGCAGUUGGUUAGCGUGCAAGUCUGGGGGGCUUGAGGUCGCAAGUUCAAAUCUUGUCACUCCGACCA